rnacentral:rRNA from 1 species
AGUGAACGCUGGCGGCAUGCCUAACACAUGCAAGUCGAACGGCAGCACGGGUGGUUGUUGCUGGUGGCGGGUGGCGGACGGGUGCGGAAUGCAUAGACACCGGUCCCUUCGUUUGGGAGAGCGCGACGGAAGCGGGAUUUACACCACUAACGCACUCCGGCUGCAAGUGGAGGCACUGCGGGCUUCGCGCUUUCGCGAUUGCACGUGCCGAUGUCGGAUUAGCUUGUUGGUGGGGUAAAGGCCUACCAAGGCGACGAUCCGUAGCUGGUCUGAGAGGAUGAUCAGCCACACUGGAACUGAGACACGGCCCAGACUCCUACGGGAGGCAGCAGUGGGGAAUAUUGGACAAUGGGCGCAAGCCUGAUCCAGCAAUACCGCGUGUGUGAAGAAGGCCUUCGGGUUGUAAAGCCCUUUUGUCGGGAAAGAAAAGCUGGAGCCUAAUACGCUGCGGGUCUGACGGUACCGGAAGAAUAAGCACCGGCUAACUACGUG